rnacentral:lncRNA from 1 species
CUAAACUGGACCAUACCGUAUAAAAGUACAUAUGUGAGACAUGAAACCUUCUUCAUUGGAAGGAUUUUGUUUUUAAAUAAUUUUUAAGACAACAUUUUCUUCAGUCUAGAAAAUGCAAACUGAGUUUCUUUGUUUCAGUACUGCUUAUUCCAUAAGUGGUAUAGUAUUAUAGCAUGAAUUCUCCAUAAGGCUUUGGUUCUUGUUUUUUUUGUUUUGUUUUGUUUCAUUUUUUCUUUCUAGAAAUAACAUGCAUAAGAGGAUUUGCAGGAGCUAGCAUAUGUCCUGCAGGGCUUGUGCUCAGGCAAAAAUAAUAAAUCCUUCUGGAUAAGAGCUGACGUGGAACAGAGCCAUGUGUCUUUUCGCUGUAACCUCUAGGACUCCAACUUCCAGGAACACAGCUUGCUGCUGUGAUAAUGGCACACUGUUUGACACUGCUUUGCUACUGACUUCCUGGGAGUUUGUCUACAUACAAAAUGAACUCAGUUUCUGCAACUUUAAACCUUCUCAGCUCCGGUAG